rnacentral:rRNA from 1 species
GCACAAGCGGUGGAGCAUGUAGGUUUAAUUCGAAGCAACGCGAAGAACCUUACCAGGUCUUGACAUCCCGAUGCUAUUUCUAGAGAUAGAAAGUUACUUCGGUACAUCGGUGACAGGUGGUGCAUGGUUGUCGUCAGCUCGCGUCGUGAGAUGUUGGGUUAAGUCCCGCAACGAGCGCAACCCCUAUUGUUAGUUGCCAUCAUUCAGUUGGGCACUCUAGCGAGACUGCCGGUAAUAAACCGGAGGAAGGUGGGGAUGACGUCAAAUCAUCAUGCCCCUUAUGACCUGGGCUACACACGUGCUACAAUGGUUGGUACAACGAGUUGCGAGUCGGUGACGGCGAGCUAAUCUCUUAAAGCCAAUCUCAGUUCGGAUUGUAGGCUGCAACUCGCCUACAUGAAGUCGGAAUCGCUAGUAAUCGCGGAUCAGCACGCCCGCGGUCGAAUACGUUCCGGGCCUU